GCGAGGGUGGCGGAAUUGGCAGACGCACCAGACUUAGGAUCUGGCGUCUUUGACGUGAGGGUUCAAGUCCCUCCCUUCGCA
rfam:Cetobacterium ceti strain ATCC 700028 genome assembly, contig: EI52DRAFT_scaffold00012.12